rnacentral:lncRNA from 1 species
GGUGCCGCGGUUGCUCCGUCCCACACUCUUCCGGUUGCCGUCGCCUGACGACCGACGGCUGACGCUACUUGCGUUGCGCGGCUCCUCUUCUGUUCCUCUGCACUGCACGCAUGCGCAACCAGUUCACACGUUUAUUUCAUCAUCGUUAUUGUCCUAGUAAAAACAAAAGAAUGAAUGAUUUUGUCCAAUUCCUUGUCUUCUUUGCUUUAGCCACCCAUUUGCACCAAUAGUUUUGGAAUUCUGGGUCGACUGCUACGGUGCUCUUGAUGCUGAAUUCUCUAGAUUUCUCAGUUUUUUUCACUUAUAUUCAUUUAUCCAUCUGUUUAUUUUGACGUUUUGCCACAGAGCUAGCUGGUAGAUCUGUACUGGUACAGAUAUUUGUAUUCUCUGGUUACAAAACAUUUAUCCACCGACUGUACUCCACUGUUCCGUAUAAUCAUGGAUCAAUCAAUCAACUGUACGGGAGUAGAACCAUCCUUUUGCAAAGAAAAACCCCUGGUUUUCUUCUGGUUUUUCCUCUUGGGUACGCUGCGGUCCUUGACAGGCGCUUGACCUGGGACUGGGAGGUCAAGAAAUUCCAGGAACUGUCCUCUGAAUUACCGCCACCGUCCACCAGUACAUACUGCAUCAGCAGCCACAACCCAAUUCACCACACAGCAGAAGUGGGUGGAAAAAAAUCGUGAUGAUUCCUGUUUCAAACCACGGAAACGAGUUUCUUCCGCGUACGUAUUUUCCCUGCUGUUUUGAUUUGCUAGUACGACGGCGAAACAACCCGGAAUUUCAACUCCGUCAACGUCGUACGGACGCCGUCGGUGGAUAGCAUCCUUGCCCUCCCUUUGCUAUUUUGCUGACAGCAAUUACUGAAUAGGUUCGCUUUGUGGUUGGGCUCAAUUUGUCAACGAUAAUCUCUGAUGCUAUCAUUUGAUAAUCAUCACCAGCUUGUUGUUGCUACAUAUACAGUCAAUGCAAUCCGAAUGCAUGCAUCUAAUCAGACCGAACGACGACGACGACGAUCGAUCGAUUCUGACGUCCACCGUGCACUUUGUCGUUCUGUCCAGGGAUUCGGCAUGGAGGACGGCGUGUUCUGCGGCGUGUUCGACGGGCACGGGCGGUGCGGGCAGUACAUCAGCAAGCUGGUGAGGGACUACCUGCCGUUCAUGAUCCUGAGCCACCGGAACGCGCUCCUCUUGGG